GAUGAACGCUAGCGGGAGGCCUAACACAUGCAAGCCGAGCGGUAUUGUUUCUUCGGAAAUGAGAGAGCGGCGUACGGGUGCGGAACACGUGUGCAACCUGCCUUUAUCUGGGGGAUAGCCUUUCGAAAGGAAGAUUAAUACUCCAUAAUAUAUUGAACGGCAUCGUUUGAUAUUGAAAGCUCCGGCGGAUAGAGAUGGGCACGCGCAAGAUUAGCUAGUUGGUGAGGUAACGGCGCACCAAGGCAAUGAUCUUUAGGGGGCCUGAGAGGGUGAUCCCCCCCACUGGUACUGAGACACGGACCAGACUCCUACGGGAGGCAGCAGUGAGGAAGAUUGGUCAAUGGGUGCAAGCCUGAACCAGCCAUCCCGCGUGAAGGACGACUGCCCUAUGGGUUGUAAACUUCUUUUGUAUAGGGAUAAACCUACCCUCGUGAGGGUAGCUGAAGGUACUAUACGAAUAAGCACCGGCUAACUCCGUGCCAGCAGCCGCAGUAAAAC
rnacentral:rRNA from 1 species